UUUCCAUAAUGAGUAAGUAGGGAACUCAACUAUUUUUUUGGUCAGUAGAGUUGACAUUGUAAUAUGAACUUUUAGAACUUGUAAAGUGUUAUUUUGACCGUGUCUAGAUAUAUAAACGCAUGAAAAAAAAUUAACUAAACUGAAUUUCAUUCAUAUAUUUGUGUGUUGAUGUUCUUCCCACACAAGCAAGCAUACUACUGGCUUAUACAAGCUUUUUGAAGUUAUUUUCGUUUGAGUUCUACUCUUUGUUUUAUGUCUCAGGACUCAGACAUGUUGCAGGUCUGAUCUAUGUAGCUUUCUGCUUGGACCAGCAGGUUCUUGUGAUUUAGUCUCCUGGAGUUCUACAGAUGCAGUGUUGCAGUAUAAGGUUGUUGGGUGCUGGUUAUGGUUGGUUGUCUUAAACUCAGGUGCAAGUUUGCAAUGUUACCAGAAAAGGGUCUUUAAAGCUAGAUGUCGUAAACACAGAGCUUGAAUAUGGAAACCCUUCAUGGAAACUGUGAUGGCUUCCAAUUCACAAAGAAUUAUGUCGAGAAAAUCAUUGACUGGGAAACUCAUCAGUCAUCACCUAAGCUAGUUGAAAUCCCCUUUAAUCCCACUCGUGUCCUUUUACAGGUUUGUUACUAAGUUUAAGUAUUAUAUUGAUAUAUUUUCAGAUUGUGUAAUCGACAUACAAAUAUGUGAACCUUUGUUUUACAUGAUUUCACUGGAGUGCUAGUUGUUGUUGAUUUGGCUGCAAUAAGGGUUGCCAUGAAAAACCUCAACAGUGACCCUAGCAAAAUUAAUCCAUUGGUUCGUUUCCUUUUCUAUGUUUUAAUGAGCCUGAAAAUCAUAGUUCAAUGAUUGUGGCCUAGUAUAACUUACGAACUAUAAGCCAUUCAUUGUGCUCUAUAAAAGACGUGGAUUAUAUUCAAGUCUCUAACCCAAGAAAGAAAUAGGACAUGUACUACUGUGCUUUGUGCCUUAAACUAGUAUUUAUGCUUUCCUUAUAUAGUUAUACAUAUUUCAUUUCCUUGAGAAACAUAAACUAAUAUUGUGUUGUAGGUGAAAUAAAUUCUUUCAUAUAAUCUCAAAUUUACUUCCUAAUUUUGCAGGACAGGUUCAUGUGGACCUUGUCAUUGAUCAUUCAGUUCAAGUUGAUGUAGCAAGAUCUGAGAACGCAUUCAGGAAAACAUGGAACUUGAGUUUAAGCGGAAUGGAGAGAGAUUGGUUUCCUUAAAUGGGGAUCAACUACUUCCCGUAACAUGCUUGUUGUUCCACCUGGUUCUGGUAUUGUGCACCAGCCUUGCUUCAGUUGAUUGAGGCUCAGCAGCUGGCGGCAUUGUCAGUGAGAGAUGAGAAGGAGAUGGUGAUGAGGAUUUGGGAACAACAACAGCAACAUCAGCAAUAACAACAUCAGUUUUGAGGUUUCAUGAUAGAGGCAAUGGUGAAUACGAGGGAUUGAGGGAGCGAUGGUUGUUGCUGGAGGCAUAGCUGGGUUUAACCAGGUGGGGUGUGCAUCAGCUGCUACAACAAUGUUUUUGGCUCUUGGAGUGACCACAUUUAAUCCUAACGCAUACAAUCAGAUGAGGUCUGCAUUUGCUGCUACAUCACCGUCUUUGGCUCUUGGACUGACAAAGUUGAGAGGAUGUCUUUAUAGUAAGCAGCGUCAGAAACAAAGGGUCUAAUAGGAUCCAUUGGGACCAUAGUAUUGGCACCGGCAUUCCUCGAUGGGCACUGUUGGCCUGCUGCUGCAGUUGAGCUGCAUAAGCGGAGUUCAUGCUGGGGUCUUGGACGGUUGCUGAAUUGAAAGUGUACAGUCUACGGAUCAGGUAUUCAAUAAUUCGAGGGAGCGGCCUUUCACCUUUGAGGAGAUAGAUGAAGUUCGAGAAAUGUUGGCAAACUUCAUCACCAGUGAUUGUCUUUAAUAUUUUCUUGUACUGAAUCUUAAAUUAUUGAUG